rnacentral:rRNA from 1 species
UAUGGGGGGAGCAAGCGUUGUUCGGAUUUACUGGGCGUAAAGGGCGCGUAGGCGGCGCAACAAGUCACUUGUGAAAUCUCCGGGCUUAACCCGGAGCGGCCAAGUGAUACUGUCGUGCUAGAGUGCGGAAGGGGCUACUGGAAUUCUCGGUGUAGCGGUGAAAUGCGUAGAUAUCGAGAGGAACACCUGCGGCGAAGGCGGGUAGCUGGGCCGACACUGACGCUGAGGCGCGAAAGCCAGGGGAGCGAACGGG